GACUGCGUAGCUCAGUUGGAUAGAGCGUUGGUUUGCGGAACCAAAGGCCACAGGUUCAAAUCCUGUCGCGGUCACCA
rnacentral:tRNA from 1 species